rnacentral:rRNA from 1 species
AUGAACGCUGGCGGCGUGCCUAAUACAUGCAAGUCGAGCGAACGGACGAGAAUCUUGCUUCUCUGAUGUUAGCGGCGGACGGGUGAGUAACACGUGGAUAACCUACCUAUAAGACUGGGAUAACUUCGGGAAACCGGAGCUAAUACCGGAUAAUAUUUUGAACCGCAUGGUUCAAAAGUAAAAGACGGUCUUGCUGUCACUUAUAGAUGGAUCCGCGCUGCAUUAGCUAGUUGGUAAGGUAACGGCUUACCAAGGCAACGAUGCAUAGCCGACCUGAGAGGGUGAUCGGACACACUGGAACUGAGACACGGUCCAGACUCCUACGGGAGGCAGCAGUAGGGAAUCUUCCGCAAUGGGCGAAAGCCUGACGGAGCAACGCCGCGUGAGUGAUGAAGGUCUUCGGAUCGUAAAACUCUGUUAUUAGGGAAGAACAUAUGUGUAAGUAACUGUGCACAUCUUGACGGUACCUAAUCAGAAAGCCACGGCUAACUACGUG